UCUCAGGAGGCGCUGUGACGCAGUAGGGACCCAAGCCAUGGUGUGAGCGGCGUUAUGCCCGUGGCGACACCGAAGGCCCCAGGCACCAACCAGGGAACACUGGACGCCGGGUCGGCCGGCAGCCUUCCCUUACAGCCUUCCGAGGUCUCGUCACAGCACGCGAGACUUGGCCCGAGAGGCCCUCGGGGCAUGCUGGGAACUGUAGUCCAAGGUCGGGAAGGCUCCAGGACUUUACCCGCAGGAAAUAUGACAAAACAGCAAAGUUGAGGAAGUAAAAGAAGAUGAAAAAAGAAAUCUAUCCCCAUUUCUACCCCACGUCCAAAGCUUGCCAUCAAGGCUCAUCUCAGGGGGCUCUGAGGACUGAUCUCACAUUUAGAUUCUGCAUGUGACAUGUGCUGGGCCUACUGGCAGGCCCCACAGGCUUCACUCCUGCAACUUUAAACUUCGUGUGCCAUUACCAAACCUCGGUGCUUGAGCGCGCCACGAAUUCAAAUCUUUUAUGAAUUCUAGAAUUAGCUUCUGAAAAGCACAAUUACACUGCAGUGUGAUUUUUGUGUGUUAAAAGUGUUACUUUGGGGGAAAAAAGUGUUACUUUGGGGGCGCCUGCGUGGCUCAGUGGGUUAAGCAGCCGAGUCUGGAUUUGGAUCAGGUUCUGAUCUCAGGGUCGUGGGAUGGAGCAUCAUAUCUGCUCCGCCCUGAGCACAGAGUCUGCUUGUCUGUCUCCCUCUGUUCCUCCCACCCCCUUGCUGACACCUUGCCCUCCUCCACAAAAGGAUAGGCUACCCCGCACAUUUCAGUCAAGGGGGAGAAACAGGACUUUGUACCCUUAUAUAAAUGAUAAACAGCAGCUUGUUUUUAUCACCAAAUAAAACUAAAGUCUUUCCUGACUCUCUGACUAAAACAACUUUAUCUCUGACUUUAAUAGUACAAAUUUCUGAACCUAUGGCAUUAUGUUGAUCAUCAGGUAAGAAAAUUGCUGUUUCCCACAAAAAACAGACUAACCUUUUAACCUUCACGAUCUUAUGGGGUUUUCCCCUUUAAAUAGGUGUUGUAUUUUUUACUGAGGAGCAAAUUAUUUUAAAGCCUGGUGCCCCUUAGAAGGCUUCUUUGCAAGUAAACCACUUUUUGAAAGGGUCUGUUUGCAUAGCCGAGGAUUCAGUCAAAACUGAAUCCAGAAGGCCCAGGAAGGGUACGUUUUGAACUGUUUGAACUCAGGCCAUCUUUUGCAGCUCCUGGGGUGGAUUUCUUGUAGCUUUUUUUCCUUGUGCUUUUUUCUGACUCUAGUUUUGGUUCACAGCCAAGCCUGC
rnacentral:lncRNA from 1 species